rnacentral:lncRNA from 1 species
AAUUCUUUCGAGAUACUUGCACAGGCCUUGCCCUAGGCUUGGUUAUGCCACUUAUUCAGUCGAGGUGUUCACAUAGGUCUUGCCCAAGACUUAUGCCUCGAUCAUAUAUUUCACCAAAAAAAUGAUAUUUGCAUAAACCUAGCCGAAGGCUUAUGCCGAGGCUAUUUGGUGCCAAUUUCAAUUUAUUUGCCCUAAUCCCUUUU